AGUGAACGCUGGCGGCAGGCCUAACACAUGCAAGUCGAACGGCAGCACAAGAGAGCUUGCUCUCUGGGUGGCGAGUGGCGGACGGGUGAGGAAUGCAUCGGAAUCUGCCCAUUUGUGGGGGAUAACCUCGGGAAACCGGGACUAAUACCGCAUACGACCUACGGGUGAAAGCAGGGGAUCUUCGGACCUUGCGCAGAUGGAUGAGCCGAUGCCGGAUUAGCUAGUUGGAGGGGUAAAGGCCCACCAAGGCGACGAUCCGUAGCUGGUCUGAGAGGAUGAUCAGCCACACUGGGACUGAGACACGGCCCAGACUCCUACGGGAGGCAGCAGUGGGGAAUAUUGGACAAUGGGCGCAAGCCUGAUCCAGCCAUGCCGCGUGUGUGAAGAAGGCCUUCGGGUUGUAAAGCACUUUUGUUGUGAAAGAAAAGCAGCCGGUUAAUACCCGGUUGUCAUGACGGUACCCAAAGAAUAAGCACCGGCUAACUUCGUG
rnacentral:rRNA from 1 species